rnacentral:rRNA from 1 species
UGGGGAAUUUUGGACAAUGGGCGCAAGCCUGAUCCAGCCAUGCCGCGUGCGGGAAGAAGGCCUUCGGGUUGUAAACCGCUUUUGUCAGGGAAGAAAUCUUCUGAGUUAAUACCUCGGGAGGAUGACGGUACCUGAAGAAUAAGCACCGGCUAACUACGUGCCAGCAGCCGCGGUAAUACGUAGGGUGCAAGCGUUAAUCGGAAUUACUGGGCGUAAAGCGUGCGCAGGCGGUUUUGUAAGACAGAGGUGAAAUCCCCGGGCUCAACCUGGGAACUGCCUUUGUGACUGCAAGGCUUGAGUGCGGCAGAGGGGGAUGGAAUUCCGCGUGUAGCAGUGAAAUGCGUAGAUAUGCGGAGGAACACCGAUGGCGAAGGCAAUCCCCUGGGCCUGCACUGACGCUCAUGCACGAAAGCGUGGGGAGCAAACAGGAUUAGAUACCCUGGUAGUCCACGCCCUAAACGAUGUCAACUGGUUGUUGGGAAGGUUCCUUCUCAGUAACGUAGCUAACGCGUGAAGUUGACCGCCUGGGGAGUACGGCCGCAAGGUUGAAACUCAAAUG